rnacentral:rRNA from 1 species
UGCAUGGCUGUCGUCGGCUCGUGUCGUGAGAUGUUGGGUUAAGGUCCCGUAGCGAGCGCAACCCUUGUCCUUAGUUACCAGCACGUUAUGGUGGGCACUCUAAGGAGACUGCCGGUGACAAACCGGAGGAAGGUGGGGGAUGACGUCAAGUCAUCAUGGCCCUUACGGCCUGGGCUACACACGUGCUACAAUGGUCGGUACAAAGGGUUGCCAAGCCGCGAGGUGGAGCUAAUCCCAUAAAACCGAUCGUAGUCCGGAUCGCAGUCUGCAACUCGACUGCGUGAAGUCGGAAUCGCUAGUAAUCGUGAAUCAGAAUGUCACGGUGAAUACGUUCCCGGGCCUU